rnacentral:ncRNA from 12 species
CUUUGCCAUCUUCGUCAGAAGUUGUCAACUCAAGGGUUGGCAUCCAGCACAGUUGGUGAUAAAGGGGUCUGUUUCCUUGCCCUGCCAUAUGGCGCGGCAAAAAAUCUACGUAGCUGCGAAUGCCGACAAUAGGUAAAUCCGAACUCCGCAAAGCGCAG